GUACAUGUACAAUACUACUAUUCCUGCCCGGGCAGUCCGAGUUAUGAAGACUGUCAAAGUAAUCUUACACGGCAGGAGGUCCCAGAAGACUACGCCUGUGUGCAAUAUUAUAUGAGAUUCGACAAUGGAUCAAUGAAAAUGGAUCAGGUUUAUAAAGGGGGCACAUCUAAACGUGUCUGUGAACAGAUCAACAAAGGAAACAUCCGAAACUUGUCACAAUCCUUUCUUUGAAUGUAAAGCAAAGUGCUGCUAUGAAGAUGACUGCAACAAAGGAAAUAUUCUAGACACGAGUGGUCAAUUUUCCAGCUCCAGGAAAGCAGUUUUUACCAGUGAUGGUGUGGUGGCCAUGGGGUUGUUUUUGUUGUUUUUUCCUUUAAUGUUAUCUACUAGUCAGAGAACGUUUUGAUGAUUCUUGUAGUUAACCGUGUGUGUCAUCAGGCGCUUAAUCUUAAUGUGCGGACAGUUUUGAGGAUGAAGUUUUGAUGGGGUCCUUAUGCAAACCCCGAAGCAAACCUGUUUUUACUUUGAUUUCUCAUUGGUCAUUGAUGAUGCGAACCUAUAUUAUUUAUUUUCUACAGCCAAACUGCUCUGGACAAAAACUCUCGUGAAGUCGUCUUCUUUUACUUCUGAAUUUUUACUUCUCACAAGAUUUUCAUGUUGAUUUAUUAGAUAGGUGUUUUAAAUAAUUGAAGGUCAAAAUAUAUACCAAAACCCGCCCAUAUUAGCCAAUGGUAUUUACUGUACUGUGUAGUGCUAUCAUGAAAAAACUGUGAACGUUUUCUUCAAUAAAAUGUCAUUACUUGAGUAUGA